rnacentral:rRNA from 1 species
GAUGAACGCUGGCGGCGUGCCUAAUACAUGCAAGUCGAGCGAACGGACGAGAAGCUUGCUUCUCUGAUGUUAGCGGCGGACGGGUGAGUAACACGUGGAUAACCUACCUAUAAGACUGGGAUAACUUCGGGACACCGGAGCUAAUACCGGAUAAUAUUUUGAACCGCAUGGUUCAAAAGUGAAAGACGGUCUUGCUGUCACUUAUAGAUGGAUCCGCGCUGCAUUAGCUAGUUGGUAAGGUUACGGCUUACCAAGGCAACGAUGCAUAGCCGACCUGUGAGAGUGGUCGGCGACACUGGAAGUGGGACGCGGUCCAGGCGCCUACGGGAGGCAGCAGUAGGGAAUCGGCCGCAAAGGGCGGAAGCAUGACGGAGCAACGCCGCGUGAGUGAUGAAGGUCUUCGGAUCGUAAUACUGUGUUAUUAGGGAAGAACAUAUGUGUAAGUAACUGUGCACAGCGUGACGGUAACUAAUCAGAAAGCCACGGCUAACUACGUG